UGGGGAAUAUUGCACAAUGGGCGCAAGCCUGAUGCAGCGACGCCGCGUGAGGGAUGGAGGCCUUCGGGUUGUAAACCUCUUUCGCCAGUGAAGCAGGCCAUCUUCUUUGUGGGGUGGUUGACGGUAGCUGGAUAAGAAGCGCCGGCUAACUACGUGCCAGCAGCCGCGGUAAUACGUAGGGCGCGAGCGUUGUCCGGAAUUAUUGGGCGUAAAGAGCUCGUAGGCGGCUGGUCGCGUCUGUCGUGAAAUCCCCUGGCUUAACUGGGGGCUCGCGGUGGGUACGGGCCGGCUUGAGUGCGGUAGGGGAGACUGGAAUUCCUGGUGUAGCGGUGGAAUGCGCAGAUAUCAGGAGGAACACCGGUGGCGAAGGCGGGUCUCUGGGCCGUUACUGACGCUGAGGAGCGAAAGCGUGGGGAGCGAACAGG
rnacentral:rRNA from 1 species